rnacentral:lncRNA from 1 species
AUACUGCUGUUGAUGAUGUGAAUUUUGGAAAUAUUCUCCCCUAUUGGGUCUUUCUCCAUGACAGAUGAUGUCCUUUGGCUUCGGUUUUUUGCCUAAGAACUGUAAGUGGUGCUUGCUAGCCCUACUAAGAAUCCUGCCAUUGUUGCAAAUUUCAGAAAAAAGGAGGACUGCCUAGUACUGCCAAUUCUGACAGUGAUCUGGUAAGACAUUUUCAAUUAUUUCCUCUGUAAAUGUUUUAAUAUCAGAUUAGAAAUGUGUUUCUACUUUCUAAUUUGUAACGUAAGACUUCAAAAUCUGUUUGAAAACUACUGUAGAAAGUCUGUGUUGAAGGAUAAAAUUCCCCGAUAUUUUAGAAUGGACUCUUUGCAUUCAAUUAAUUUAUUAGUUAAAGACAGUGAUUAAUGCAUCCUAAAAUAUUUAGGGAUGUAGUCUUUUCUAAUUAUUUCACUAUAGCAUAGAAGAAUUGCUAUUAAGAGUUGGCCAACAGGCCAGGUGCAAUGGCUCAUGCCUGUAAUCCCAGCACUUUGGGAGGCUGAGGCUGGAUCACUUGAGCCCAGGAGUUUGAGACCAGCUUGGGCAAAAUGGCAAAACUCUGUCUCUGCAAAAAUACAAAAAUCAGUCAGGCAUGGUGGCUUGUGCUUGUAGUCUGAGCUACUCAGAGUUGGGGGCUGAGGUGGGAUUCGCCCGGGAGAAACGAAUAGAGAGGUCUGGGUAUGCAGGGAUAUAGGGUCAGGUUACCAAGUUAGCUGAGCACAUCGGGUCCCCUGUGGAUAUUGCCACUUCAAAGAGGCUCAAAAGCUCUGAAAUUUUAUGAAGAAUUUUCUCAGGUUUGGCAGAUACGAAACUGUUGAACACUGUUAGAGAAAAAUGGGGAAAAGUAAACUAAGGCCUAUCCAAAUUAUUAUUUUGAAUUGCGUAGCUCAAGAUGAUUUGACCAUCACAUUAAAUUUGUCCAAUUAAUUUGUCACAUUAAAUUUGCCAAAUUAAAAGUGUAUCAUGUAGUGACUGAUAGUAAACUAAGUACAUGAAAUUAUGGGCAUUCAGAAGAUUUUUAAAGAACUGAUUGGUUUUACUUUGGAACAGUAACAAUGCAGUGAGGCAUCUUGGGACAAAGAUUGGAAGAGGAAGAAAGCCAGAGAAUUGAGCCUGACAUUUGGGAGCCACUUUUCCCCUUGAACAACAAUAAUAAUGGCCCUUAGGCUUUCUGCGGAAAGGAGGGUGUUUGUUUAAAAAACAAAAAGACAGAGACAUAUACAGAGACAGAGAAAAAGAAGAAAGGAAAAGCAAAAAGAUUCCAGAAAUAAAGGGGAAAAUAUAACCCUUACCAUGGAGGAAAAUUACAAUUCACUUGGAUUAACCAUAAGAAGAUUAAAAAGUCAUAUAUUGACCAAUUUUAAUGUUUUCUGGAAGAAGAAACACACCUUUUCACACUGUGAGCUGUACAGAAGCCGACUCUGUGGUUUUUGGUGUGUAAAAACAUAUAGUAAUAAUAAUUAUACCACUUUACACCUUUAUGGUGUUUUGGGUUUACAGAUUCUCCAUACAGUUAAUCUAUUUUGGGUUUACAGAUUCUCCAUACAGUUAAUCUAUUUUGAUCUUCAUACCAAACCUAUUCUAAAUUGGGGUUUAGAGGAGGUGUGAGGCUGACAAAAAGAUGUUCUGCUUUUUGUUCAGGACCUGUGCUCAGGGCUGUGUUCUCAUUUUGAGGUUGGAUUUUGUACACUCACAUUUUCAUUUAUCUCUCUAGUGCUCAAGAUAUUCACAAACUUUUUCACUGUCAGGGAUGCAUAAAAGAACAAUACUUUAUUAGAGCUAUAUUCUAAGCCAACUGGGUCGUCGUACCUUAGAUUCAAAGUUAGAUUAUGGCUCAAAAUGAAUCCUUAGCGUAUUUCUGGUGUUCAAAAAGAAUAGGUUGAAGCCGAGACGGGUGGAUCACUUGAGGCCAGGAGUUCGAGACCAACCUGGCCAACAUGGCAAAACCCCGUCUCUACUAAAAACACAAAAAAUUAGCCAGGCAUGGUGGCGUGCGCCUGUAAAUCCAGCUACCUGAGAGCCUGAGGCAGAAGAAUCGCUUGAACCUGGGAGGUGGAGGCUGCAGUGAGCCGAGAUCAUGCCAUUGCACUCUGACCUGGGUGACAGAGUUGGACUAUGUCUCAAAAAAAAAAAAAAAAAAAAAAGAAUAGGUUAUUUUAUAUUUCCUGAAUUACAUGUAGUUGUAAUGCCUUGCUCAGGAUCUUGCCUAUAGUGGCAAAGAAAUAUUGCUUAAAAUCGACUCUUGAAUUACACUAGCAUUCUGUAGGCACCAUAUCAAACAUCUAGGACAGGGGUCCUCAAUCCCCAGGCCGCUGACCGGUACCAGUCUGUGGCCUGUUAGAAACCAAGCCACACAGCAGGAAGUGAGCAGGGGGCAAGCAUUACAGCCUGAGCUCCGCCUCUUAUCAGAUCAGUGGUAGCAUUAGCUUCUCAAAGGAGUGCAAACCCUACUGUGAACUGUGCAGGUGAAGGAUCUAGCUUGCGCAUUCCUCACAAGAAUCAAUGCCUCAUGAUCUGAGGUGGAACAGUUUCAACCUGAAAUCAUCCCCCACAUCCCACCCCACCCCAGUCCCAUCUGUGGAAAAAUUGCCUUCCAUGAAACUGGUCCGUGAUGCCAAAAAGGUUGGGGACCACUGGUCUAGGACUUACCCGGCUGGAGUGCAGUGGUGCACACGCCUCACACUGUGACACAGCGGGAGAGCCCAGAGCGACAGCUGUUGGAAUGACUGCACUCUUCCUGCUCAAGUCUGACCUUUCCAAGCCUUUGUCCUAUGUCUGGAGACUUCUUGGAAGCUGGAGCACACAAAUAGCUACAGCAAACUUGAGGAAUGGGCAUGAAUAGACUGGCUUCGGGGAACCUGCCAGCUUGGCCGUGUGGCCAAGGUAAUAGGCAAGCCAAGGCAGAGCUAGAGCUCAGAGCUGGAGGGGAAAUUAAAGCAGCAAAUGUAGAAACAUUAAGCCUGAAGAGGCGACGACGUUGAAUUCUAAAAUGCAGGCCAAAGCUCAGACUGCAAGCUGUCUGGCUGCUCCGGGUGUGCCCAGAAGUCAAAGUCCAGCAGGGGCAAAGGUGGAGGUGUGGUCCUGCACGUGGGGUGUUGGGGGGAUGUGGAAGAGGAGGUGCUUUAAGAUCCAGAGAUUCCAGCUGCCCUGGUGCACCCUUGGAAGAAUAAAAGGCUAGGAACUGGACAAGUCAGGCUCGAGUCCAAGCUGCCUGAGGAAUCGGGGAAAGAAUGGAGCUCAGAGUGGGAGGUCAGGGCAGUAUUUAAAAAUCCAGGAUAGCAGCAAAGCUGGCGGUGGCCCCUGACUCUGGUAAGGGCAGCCUGCAGCACCAUGCCAAGGGGGGCCUGACUGAUCAUGCCCUGCAUUUGCAAACAAGGAUUAGUAGGGUAUGAGUAGGAUUCUGCUGGUGCCUGGGAAGGCAGUGCCAUCUACAACUUUACAAAGUUUUAACAAAGGCCUGAAGGACACAACCUUCCCCAAAGUCCUGACGUCGCUGUUUGCUGGCAACAAAUAGAGUCAAAAGAAGAGAGGCACAGAAUGUGCCAGGGGUGUGCUGCGUACAGCCCCGAUGACCACAAGGCCUUCUUGGGUCAAGUUCUGCCAUCUCUGGUUAAGAUGGGCUCACCCUCUAGGACCCUGAUUGAGUCCUCGGACCACCAAGAGUGCCCCACCAAGAGCCUCCCUCUUCUGGUGACUCGUGCCUGCUUCCCGUGGAGAGCUCCAGAAGGGAGGAAACUGUGAGGAGGUGGAGAACGUGGCAGGGAUCCUAACUUUCUUACUGAAGGAAGUUCUUCACAAGUACCCAUCUGCCUUCAGGGAAGAAAACAUAACUCAUUUUGGUCUUUCAAAUUCAGUUCUCAAAACCAAAUCCUGUUGUCAGCAAUCUGUGUCCCAACGCCUUCUUCAGCAACAGCAUUUUCCCUGUGGAAUUAGUUUCCAAUGUUCUUUCUUAAAUAAACCACUGAAGAUUAAAAGGAAUCCAGAUACCCACCACAUUUUGUUUCCUUAAUGAGUAAUUAUCACAUUUCUUUGGCUACUUAAAUGCAUUCUCUGAGUCAGGUAAAGGAGAUCGUAAUAGUUAAUCAACAAGAAGUAAUUCUUGGGUACUUAACAAUAGUCUAAGCACUUAAUCAUACUUAAAAUUGACUAUUAAUGAACCUUAUAAACCAUUUUGCAAUUCUGAAAGUGAAUUUCUCUGCAGGCUUAGAGAUUACUAAGCCAUUUAGAUCUUACCAAACAAAUAUUAUUCAUGCUUUAAUUCCUGGGAAAAGAAAUUUAGAAAAUGAGGUUAAUGUUCAGUUGUCCUUUCCUGAGUUUAACAAUUAUAUAUUCCAUCUGGGAUGCUCUGAACUCAGGUUAAACAUUCUUCAAGUUAUUCCCACAUUUUUCAAGUUAUUCCCACGUUAGUGACCUACUUUAUUAGUAUUAUUACUAAAGAAAAGGGCUGGGUGCGGUGGCCCACAUCUGUAAUCCCAGCACUUUGGGAGGCUGAAGCAGGAGGAUCACUUGAGCUUGGGAGUUCAAGACCAGCCUGAGAGGGAGACUCCGUCUCUACAAAAAAAAAAAAAUUAGCCAGGUAUGGUGGCACGCGCUCAUGGGCCCAGCUACUCAAGGAGGCUGAGGUGGGAGGAUCACGUGAACCUGGGAGGCAGAGCCUGCAGUGAGCCCUGGUUGUGCCUCUGUACUCAAGCCUGAGAGACAGAGUGAGACCCUGUCUCCAAACAAUAAAGUAAAAUAAAUAAAUAAAUAAAUAAGAAUGCAAAUCAAAGACAUUAAGAAAUAGCUUUACUUUAAUGUAGGCAUUUAAGGUAAAAUAGGUCACAUUCUCUUUUUUAAAAAAAUUACUGACCCACAGAAAAACAAGUCAAAAAGCAGACUAUUUCAUAUUAGUGUCUUUUUUUUAAAGAGGAUUAAUAUAAAUUGCCUUCUCACCUGUUUUUAAAAUAAAGGACUGAAUGAUAGAACUUAGACAACAAAUCUAGUAGCAUGAUAAAAGCCUUUCUUUGAUAGCUAGAAAAGGUAAACAAAGAAUAAAACAGGGUGAAGAAGAAAGAGGACAGAUAGAAUGUGAAUAUUAUCUACCUUUUUCUCAAGAUAAAACUAAUAUUGCUUUCUAAAAAGAAGCAAUUCUUUAGAGCAGAGGUCAGCAAACUUUUUCUAUAAAGAGCCAGAUAUUAACUAUUUUAUAAUUUGCAAACCACAUAAGUCCUCUGUUUCAUAUGGGUUUUUUUCUUUUUUCUUUUUAAACAAUACUUUAAAAAUGCUGAAAAUAUUCUUAGCUUACAUCUACAAAAAAGCAGGCAGUGGGCUGAUUUGACUCACAGGUGGUAUAGCUUGCUAAUUCCUGCUUUAGAUUUUAAGAAUGAGGCAGAUGUUGCCAGAAUUUGCUCUAAUUUACUAUGAGGUUUGCAAAUAAAAGUGCUCUUGACAUGAAAACUUGCUAUUUUUAAUGGAAAGACAUGUACAGCCCUUUCUCAGGAAGUGGAGAUUAAUGCAUAAAAUUUUAUUUUCCUAACAUAAAGCAUGUUUUUUCAAAAAAUGGCUUCUCCAUCUUGUGGCCCUUUGAUUAUGAUAGCUCUGAAAGCUUUGAAAAGCUUGCAAAUACUCAACUUCAGGAAUAAAACCACCUAUGAGACCCUCACCUGAAGGCAGGAUCUUUCCUGCAGCCUUGAGUCUUCCUAAUCAGAACCAUUGUUUCGUAAACUGGACUCCGAAGACAACACUUAAAGUCACUCAAGUUCGCUACAAAAUUCUUGUUUUGUGUUUUCAUUUCUAAAGACAAUAAAAAUAAUUGAUAUGAUCAAGUUUGGGAUUAUCUAGAUGAUCUAGACAACUAUUGCGGUCAAAAUAGGCCUGAUCACAGGCAUUUUCAGUACCCAUGGAAUUCUAGAGCUUUGGAUACUUGUCUAGUCUGUUUGGGUCACUAUAACAAAAUGCCAUAAACUGGGUGCUUAUAAAGAACAGAAUUUUAUUUCCCACAGUUCUGCAGGCUGGGAAGUCCAAAAUCGAGGCAGAUUUGAUGUCCUCAAGUGAUGGAAGAAUCAAGAGGUCUCUCUGGGGGCUCUUUUAUAAGGGCACUAACCCCAUUCAUGAGAGCAGAGCCUAAUUACCUCCCUAAGGCCCCAACUCCUAAUACUAUCACCUUGAGGGUGAGGAGGGAAACAUAAAAAUACCAUAGUAAUACUAAUAGGUACAUCAGUGAAGAACAAUAUCACAGUAUCGUGUAGACAGGAAGAUUUUGCUGCAAUUUGGUUGUUAAAACAAAAAGUCGUGGGUGGAUACAAUCAUCAGACAGUUCAGAAGUGGCAUCCACGUACUCACCCAAAGGAGGUGCACUGCAGUUGUGGGAGCCCUGUGCUUGCUACUAGCAGUGACUUAAUUUCUGCAAAGCUAUGUGAUCACAUUCAACUAUGCUAGUUAACUUUAAUUUUACUGAAUUUGGUUUAGGUAGGUAGUUUGUAAAUUUAACUUUCUACUUGUAUAAGAAGUAUAAUUAUAAAAACAGCAGGUCAGCACGACAGGUCUGAGAGAAUCUGUAUUCUGUAAAAAAAUACCUAUUUCUUACUUGGCGAAAAACAUUAGUCAAUGUUGCACCAAAAACCCCCCAAAAGCUAUAGAUCAGAUAUUGACUAAAAUGAAUAUACAAAAAUCUUGACUGGAAAUAUUUUAAGUCAAAACUAACAGCCUAUUUCAGGUAUUGACAGAACAAAUUCCAGAAGCAGAAUAACUGAAACAAUCAUGUUGAAAUUAAUUAUAAUGGGCAGAAUUUGACUGAAACUUGUUACCACCUUCACCAAAAUAUAGCCUUUCUUAUACUAUCAAAUGUAUUGAAUAAAUUGUGAGCACUUUCUUGUACAACUUCUAAAAAUUUAGCUUUGCUUUUGUUAUCUGAAUAUUGUACAGGAAUAUGAGCAUGCAAAUAAGAUCUUUGUUUAGUUUCAAGUCUUUUUAUAACUAAAUCUGCUGGCAUUAGACAAUAAAUACAUUUUCAAAAUAUGAAUAGUCUCUCAUUUGAUUCAAAUUAGAUGAGUUGUUUUGCAUGUUUCUUAUCAAUUAUGCAAUUAUUGUCUUAGUUUAAAUAUAAUCUAAUAGCUGACGCUGCAUUCAUAUGCUAUGCUGGAUUCCUAGCUAAAAUGAAAUCAGUAUGCUAGUAAAAUAUUUUUCAUACAUGUUAUUUGGAACUUUGCUUCUCAAUUCUAUAACAAGAAUUCCCUUUGGUAUCUGUAUUUUUUUUCCCUUGUGUGUUAAUAUGCAUAUAAUCUUUCUUUGUUUACCUACCUUUUUAAGGUAGGUUAAAGGGAUAAAAGCAGUAACUCAUAUGUUUUGGUCUCAGGCCACCUUUACACUUUUAAGAAUUGUUGUCUGGGUGCGGUGGCUCACGCCUGUAAUCCCAGCACUUUGGGAGGCCAAGGUGGAUGGAUCACCUGAGGUCAGGUGUUCGAGACCAGCCUGGCCAACAUGGCAAAACCCUGUCUCUACUAAAAACACAAAAAAAUUAGCCAGGCAUGGUGGCACGUGCCUGUAGUCCCAGCUACUUGGGAGGCUGAGGCAGGAGAAUCACUUGAAUCUGGGAGGCGGAGGUUGCAGUGAGCGGAGCUUGCGCCAUUGCACUCCAGCCUCGGCAACAAGAGCGAUACUCUAACUCAAAAAAAAAAAAAAAGAAUUGUUGAGAAACUCAAAGAGGUUUCGCUUACAUGGAUUAGGUCUAUUGCUAUUUACCAUAAUAUAAAUUAAAACUGAAAAGUUUACAAAUAUUUUAAUGCAUUUAAAAUAAUAAUAAAACUCAUUACAUGUCAACAUAAAUAACACAUUUUCUGAAAAGUAAUUAUAUUUUCCAAAGCAAAAAUAGAAAUAUGCUUUUAUUUUACAUUUUUGCAGAUCUCUUUUAUACCUGGCUUAAAAGAAGAUAGCCAGAUUUUAAUUUCUCUUUCUGCGCUCAAUUUAUUGUAUUAUUUUGCUUUGGUUUAAGUAUAUGGAGAAAAUCUUGUUUCACACAAAUGUGUAGAUGGAAAAGAAAACAGUAUUUAACAGCAUUUUCAAAUAAUUAAUUAUGGAUGUUCUUCUUUGAUACUAUACUAAAACUCAGCAAGUGAUAGCUUCUUACAGGUUUGUUACAACAUGAUAUCUGAAACUGUAUCAAUAAAAAUUUCAUACUCUGUUACAUCAAAAUUCACUGGUCUAAAAAAAUUCAUUGAUCUAUUUGGUGCUUGAGACAGACAUUUGACUCAUGACUUUUGUAAUAUUAAGUAUUGGUCAUCUGGAAAAUUUGGUUCCAUAAGAUAUGCAGAUCUUGUUAAUGUUGAUCUAUGUCACUAUGCAAUAUCAAAAAUCACAUCUGUUAAUAUCA